rnacentral:lncRNA from 1 species
CCGUGUAUUCCUAUUCCCCUGCAGCUCGCCGUGUGCAAGUUCUUCAGUCCAAGUUCUCUGUCGAGCUUGUCUCUUGUUUCAUUUUCCUUAACACUCGGUAAGGAAAAUGAUCGUUCAACUUGAAUUAUGUUUUGGACUGAUUGUUCAAGUUCUUUCGUAUAGAAGGUUCAGAAAGUUUUGUUCCUGAAAAUGCACUUAUUUGGAGUAUGCCAAUAUAUGUGUAUUUCUGAAUUUCGCUCUUGAGUAACAGUUCAACAUGUAUUACGCCAUCAAUUCAUAAUGGAAAGGUAGCAAACAGUUCAACACUUGUGUGUUAAAAACGUAACAGUAUAGAGAAACUUUCGUAGUGGUUCGAUGGAAUAAAUCGCAUCAGUUCUGACUUGAAUCCGUUCUUGCCUAUAAUGCAUUGAAAAAUCAAUUGUUUUUGCCUUCGUUAAGGCUUGAGAAGCAUGUAUCUCAUUUAUAAUAUGCUUUGGCAUUUGGUCGAUGAUAUUUAUUGCAUCCUUCAUCACUGAUCGUGAGGAGAUUCAUUUGUGCAUUUCUAUAUUCGUUGUGUAAAUUUGUUGAUUUUUAAUGUUUUAGGGAUUUCGGGAGAGUGGAGACCUAGGAGAGCACUUUCAAGGGUUAUUGGCCAUGACAAUAAAUGAUCAAGAAGAGCACUUUCAAUAGUCCAGGAAGACAACAACAACAACAACAACAACGAGAAAAAUGCAACGAUGCAUCAUGCUGACAUUGAUGAAAAGCUAUGAUUUUGUGCUCUUGUUUGUUAUUAUGUCAAUGAGAAACCAAGACUUCUUUUCUUCAGGUUUUGUGUUUUAAUUGGUGAGGGAUAAACAAAUUUUCCUAUUCAAGUGGAAGCUCCCAAUAUAUGAUGGAUGUGGGAGUUAUUUUUACAUUCACUAUUCGGUGCUUCUCUUUAUGUAAUGUUUUAUGUUUACAAGUGCUCGAUGAAAAUUUAUGUUCCUAGUAGUUCAUGUAUUAUUGCCUGAGGAGUUCAUGUGUUACUGGCCAGUAAGUAAACCUAUUAAUCACUCUCUCAAGUGUGAUGAAAAAAAUGGGCAGUAAAUUGAUGAAAAAAU